AAGUUGGUUGCCAGUGAUGUAGUAAUCUUUUUCUGAAAGUAUGGUGUUGUUACUCAGAUUUUCGUCACUACCACUGAGGCAACUGCUGU